AUUCAAAUUAAUGCUUCGGGAAAUAAAAUGAUUUAAACUGCGCAGUACGUAAAAAACAUCAAAUCACAUCACUGAAUGUUAACACUUGAUAAACAUUUAGAGUGUAGCAUAGUAAGUCGAUUGCAUGCGAUUUGUUCAUAAAUAACUGUAAUGUUAUUACAGUGGAAAUAUGCUGAAUACUACUUUAAUACUACAAUUUAUAUAACAUGCAACAUCGUUUUGUUUCUUAGAUUCAUCAUAUUGUGAGAAAUACUUCAUUUUGAUGGGAAUGUUUGAUGAAACUGCAGCGCAGCAGUAACUGGUGAACAUAUAUAUAUGAUAUUUGGAAAGAAGAAACCUAAACGAACCAUAACAUUGGACAGUAUUGACUACAGUUUGAAUUACAAGACAGAAAAAAGCAACAAAUUGCAGACGUCCAACAUUUUUCCUGCUCACAUGCUUACAUCUUGUGGCGUCGGAUAAAUAGCCAGUAGCCAAGUAUUGAUGUAGCCGUAGUGGAAUAACUGGGAAACUCAUUAUUUUAUCUUUGAAG